CAAGGGAUAUCCAAGGAUUUUUUAGUUAACGGGUUCUGGCCCCGUUAACCUAGGUUCGAAUCCUAGUCCCUCAG
rnacentral:tRNA from 1 species